UAGGCCUGUGUUGUUGAUUGGAAAAGGGAUUCUAUGGCCAUCGGCCCCUCUCUCUGCCGCCGAAAAAUACAGGGACCAACACCUUAGUGUCAAGGGCAGAAGUUUUUACAGCGCAGAAAGAGGCCCCUCGUGUCCGUGCCGAUCAUCUAACACUCAUCUAUUCUAAUCCGACUUCCCAGCAUUUAGCCGGUUUCUGGCACUAACCUCACUGAGGCUUGUAUUCCUCAUUGCAUUCGGUCUGAUGAUUAUUGUAUGUGCUGACACCUGGAAGACUAAAAUCUGGCCUGAACUCCAAGUGAUGCACAUGGAAGACAGUGAUGCUGAGAGGUAUAGAAUUGCAUUUUACUUAUUAUGCAUUUUUGAACUUUCUAACAAUGUAUGGACUGUGUGCUUUAUAUUU